rnacentral:rRNA from 1 species
CUUGAACGCUGGCGGCAGGCCUAACACAUGCUAGUCGAGAGGAGCGUCGGACGGGUGAGUAAUUCCUAGGAAUCUUCCUGGUAGUGGGGGCUAACGUCCGGAAACGGGCUCUAAUACCGCAUACUAUCAGAUCAGCCUACGUCGGAUGAUCUAGUUGGUUGGGUAAAGGCCUACCAAGUGGACGAUCCGUAACUGGUCUGAGAGGAUGGUCAGUCACACUGGCACGGAGACACGGUCCAGACUCCUGCGUGAGGCAGCAGUGGGAAAUAUUGGACAAUGGGCGAAAGCCUGAUCCAGCCAUGCCGCGUGUGUGAAGAAGGUCUUCGGAUUGUAAAGCACUUGAAGUUGGGAGGCGUUACCAACAGAAUAAGCACCGGCUAACAUCGUGCCAGCCGCCGCGGUAAUAC